rnacentral:sRNA from 1 species
UUUCUUUAUCCCUUCCAGCUUCAUUGGUGUACAUGCUUCUGGGCAGGUUCUGAAAAAUGCAGUUGUUUGAUGAUUCUGGGGGAGAUUAAUGAAGGUCACAGUCAGGACUCUAAUCUGAAUCUUUGUGACCUUGACCCUUUUCAAAAGAGCAGCUUGCUACAAGAAAAGUGGAUAUGUUUAGUAAAUUCAUGUUUAGAAACAAGAAGGAUUUAAGGUUAUUUACAGGAAUGAAGAGGAUUUUGAAGAGUGCAUGUGGAUUUAGGAACAAACAGAAAAAAUAGAUUUUUGUAAGUGCUUCUUCCUGAUGGUUGACAAAAGUCAUUCAAGAAAUAUUAAGAGUGGUGUGUUUUGUUGAUCGAGACUCAGAGCUGUAAGGUCCUUCUGUAGUCUUAGAUGUAUUUAGAGCUGGAAUUUAGUUGAGGAAAAAAGUAAAGUUUUUAUAUGGAGUGAACUUGUUUACCUUCUAAACUUAUUAAUGUGCUUUUUAAGACAGUCAUAUAAGCAAUGUUAAAAAAUGAUUGCUUUCAGAGAAUGUGUUUUGAUUUCAAUAAAUCAGAAGAUGAA